CGGCGGACGGGUGAGUAACGCGUGGGUAACCUACCCUGUACACACGGAUAACAUACCGAAAGGUAUGCCAAUACGGGAUAAUAUAUUUGAGAGGCAUCUCUUGAAUAUCAAAGGUGAGCCAGUACAGGAUGGACCCGCGUCUGAUUAGCUAGUUGGUAAGGUAACGGCUUACCAAGGCGACGAUCAGUAGCCGACCUGAGAGGGUGAUCGGCCACAUUGGAACUGAGACACGGUCCAA
rnacentral:rRNA from 1 species